rnacentral:lncRNA from 1 species
GCAGUAAGAUCCCACUAUUGCUCCAAAUGAAAAUAUUCUUGCAGGUAGAAGCCAUCCUCUCCCGGGUUAGACUGAGGACAACCUCUAUCCACAAGGUCUAAGCAAGGCUAAGCAUUUUUGUAAAUCAUAUUUUGAUACUUCACAGAAGUAUCUAUAAAGGUAUGGAUAUCAAGGAAAGCAAUGCAUUAAAGGGUUCCAAGCAACUCCUAUGAACCUAAUGCACAUUUCACUAGACUUAAAGUGUGCGAAAAGUAUUUAAAACACAAGGAAAGGGGUUGCAUGCACCGGGGCUUGCCUUUGUUCACAGGUGAGUCAGGCUCGGAUCCGCAGAUGUCGAAGUAGAGCCAAGUCCCUGCCUGAGAUUCCAAAGGUGGUGGUGUCUUCUCUUCAGUCACUUUACUCUCUUCUUCGUUUUCUAAAUAUAACCAUAUAGGUAUAUAUAUAAGAAUGAAUGCCAUGUAAUGCUUAUGAGAGUGCAUAGAUAAUAAAGGUUUAUUAACUAAGUUUUGAAUACAACAUUCCUUCACGGAACUCCGAGAACUUAGGGUUUCCGGAGUUAGUAAAGGAGUUCAAAGGGUAGGGGGUAGGGUUUUGGGUUCUAGUUAUCAAACAAGGUCCAAAUCAAACCAAAUCCUACCCAAGGCUUCUAAAUAUUAUUUUAAGCUCAUAUAAAAAGUUUGGGCAUUUUUGGAAUUAUUAUUGAUUUUCUAAAAAUCAAGACACAAGGUUUUAGGCUAUUUUAAAUACUCCAAAAUUCCCUAUUUGAUCUAAAAAUCAUAAAACUAUUUUUAUUAAAUUCUAUGGAAAAUUAGGAAUCUGACAAAAUUGGUUUGACAUUUUUACCAUUUUUCAGAAAUUUUCUAUGGAUUUCUAAAGCUGAUUGGAAAAAGAAAAGGAAAAACUACUAACAGUGUUGGGCCCAAACCGCUGGUGUGGUCCAACAACCAGGCAAAGCUGGCCCAAACCCGGGAGCCCGCGCCCGCUUUGGCCAGCUUGCACAAAGGACCUUGCGCUCUGGUUAAAACAAUCAGAGCUCCCAGCCACUGUUGCUUGUGUCUCUGACAUCCUCGCUAAAACCCCUUGGCUUCCACUUAUUUACAAGCACUCGGCCCCGACAUCGCCCGUACGAACUCCGGCGACCCAGCGCCAGCUCGGCCAUGGUGGCGCAACACCGGCGACGGCGAUGGUACCCACGCGAACCCCGAAUCGCAGUGAACUCGGGUAUGGGCUCAAUCGAUCCAUGAGAACUCCACAACCCAUUUAUCGGCAGCGACGGCGGAGCACUGGAUCCGACGAACUCUAUUCCCCGAUCACCGCACGGUAGUGUUCAAACAAACGGGCCAGGGAGCUUUAGAGACCACUUAAGUCUACGGUGCGCGCGCGCAAUCGCUCGGGAAUGGCGCGGUUAAUACGGUCCACACCGAGGCUGUCCUCGGCGCCCGACCGCGACGGCGCGACCGUGUUCUACUCAACGUAUGGCGGUAGAGCUUGAACAAACCACUUGAUCAGCUUCACUGACCAAUACAGAUCAUGGAACACAAGCCACACGGGUGAGAAACUUUCUGAGCAUACCUGGCCACGGUAAAGUGGAAGAUCUGCAGGUGUGGUCACCAGACACAUUCAGUGCCUUGAUCGAUGGAAUUGGGCGCGUCCAGGGUAUGAUUUGGGGAAGGAAGAGCAAUACUGCUGACUGAAGCUACUCACUAUGGUUGAUGAUCGAGGCACGGAUCACUGCACUGGCUUCUGCUUUCUUUCCCUCACCCUGUUGCUCUUUAUAUAGGCAGGGAAAAGAUCAAGGGACUGGAUUCUUGAGUUUACAGGGGGGAUAACUAUGUGCAUGGGGUGCAGUCGUGGCUUACUCAAGGAAGCCCACGCCGGUGCUGCAGGGUGAAGAUUAUCCAGGGCAAGGGAGGGAGGUGAAGAUAGGAUGGCACUGUUCUGGAUAUUUGCACAGGUGAUAUUUCAGUGAUGAACAAAUCUGAAUACCCCUGCCAACACUCCAUCCCAAUCUUCAUCCUAUUCCAAAGUUGGUCACGGCAAGAAAAACUGAACUUGGUCACUUCUAGCAGCCAAAUAUCUGAUUUGUCCCUUUCUGUAGACAGUAAACCAACAGAUAAGAAUUCUAGUGUGUGCAGACUUAAAUGGAUCCAAACUGAUAUUUCUAAAGGGAUGAAGCCACUAGAACUGCUGCUGUCCAGCAUACCCCAUUAAAGAUUCAUUAGAUGAGGACCCCCUCUCAUUCACUGCUCACAAAAUAGGUCAAAAUUUGGAUAUUUUUUUAGUAGAUCUGAGGCCACUAGAUCCCUGGCUCUGGACUUCGACCUUAUCUCUACCCAAACAUCCAAAGAAACCAGCAGGGAGAGGAGAUAAUCUUCUUCAGAAACUGUCUUCAGUCCUAAACGAAUUACUGUUGCUUAGCUGGACUGACAGGGGCCUUUCAAGGUCAUUCCCUUACAUUUUCCAUGUAGCAACACCUUAAUUUAAUCAUAGGAAACUUGCUCAUUGACUAUAGCUCUUCAACCCACUACAGCAUUCCACUGCUAGAAACACAUGGAUCACAAACUAUAAGGUUCCAAAGCCAAGCACACACUCUGAAACUCUUCUUCAGAGAGCUGAACCCAAAUGCAACCCUUUAAGUCUGACAAGGCAUAUUAGAGAGCAUUUUACUCACAAUUCCAUAUGACAACAGACCCAUCUCCCUUAACAAGCCUUAUUCUCCAACCAUAGGUAUUCCACUUUGGUACAACACUCCAAAGCUGAAACUACUCAGAAUUGAAGUUGUGGUGUUCCAAAUUAUAGCAGAAACAGCCAAACACUUGGUCUCAGCUUAACUGAACAGCCCUCACUAUUUCUGACAGAGGACUUUGCAGCUCCAUUCUCUCUCCAUCUUUACAUAACAACAGGACCAUCUCCUUGCAUGAAACUUGUCCAUCUAUAUCUGUUCUCCAACUUUGCUAUAGAAACUAUAGUCUAAAACCACUCAUAUUUAUCACAAAACAGCUCCAAAUUAAGCAUCAUAUACUGAAAUUCAGGUUUCAGAGACUGAACCCAAAGCAGUUGGAACCAGCCUGACAGUCCAAUUUUGAGCCACUUUUACUCCUUUUUCUGUGUAGCACCAAACCAAACUCACUUAAAGAAAUUUGUUCUCCUAUAUAUGGUCUUCCAUUUUGAUAUACAACUCUUGGUCUAAAACCAUAUAUAUUAAUCACAACUGAGCUCCAAAUAGAGCAUCAUUGGCUGUUUUUCAGAGUUUCAGCUCUGAACCACUAAGUCACCAAUCUGAAAAUUCAGAAACACAGCAGCACCACUUUAAACCACUCUUUUGCCUGGCUUUCAAAUGUUUAUAGGGGACAAUUGCUUAAUAAAGUUUAUACUCCUAUAGUUCCUCUACAAGUUUGGUAUAGUGAUCAAUAACCAAAACCUCUUGGAUUCCAAACUACAAUAGCCCAAAGUUUGCUCCAAUUGAUGAAAUUCAGAAUCUGAAUUUCACUAAGUCUGAAAUCCACAAUUUUUGACAGCUUUACUUUGGACCAGUUUUACUCAAAGUUCCAAAUAGUUUUAGAGCUAUAUGACUUCACCAAACUUAUACUCCUCAUAUAGCUCUAUAACUUUGUUAUAAUGAUCAUCUUCAAAAUGGUUCUAGAUCAAAAGUUACAAAGGACUAAAAUUGCCUAGUUGCUGCGAUUUUCAGGAACUCCAAAACUAAACCUUUGUGAAUUUCUCCAUUCUUUUAAAGAAAAGUUACUCCUUAGUCUCAAAUCCAACUUUGGUAUAUAUAACUCAGAUCCAAAGUAUCCUUGGUUUAGGAGUUGUUUGCUUACACAUAAUUGCAAACAAACUUUCAACCCUCACAUUAAGGUUUCUAAGUUGACCCUUCAGCUCAAGUGUUCCUUCCACUUGAUCUCCCUUUGAAAACAAAGUUGCUCUAGGUCCUAAGUCUUACCUUUAAUACUUUAAAUUCCAAGCCAACUUAUUACUUGCUCAAGAGACGACUUUUCUUCCCAUGUCUUAAGCAAAGUUCUUAAUCUGAGUCCUGUACUCUAAUACACAACACCACAUUCAUUGAAUUUUUUUGACCUAGUGAAUGCAUUCUAGGUAUAUCAAACAAGAUAAUGCAAAUGCUUAUGAUGACAUGUCAGAGUUUUAGUUAAUGUAACACCAGGGGUGUUACAGUCUUCCCCCCUAAAAAGAAAUCUCGUCCCGAGAUUUAAAAGUCUAGGCUUAGUAAUGGAAAAGGAAACGUGUCACUGACUUAUUUCCUAAUUUCUCUUACAAGGUAGGGGAGGUGUUCUGUUUCACUUAACCACGAUGUUGUUCAACACCUCUAAGGCAGUUACCUGAGCUCCUUCCCAAGGAGCCAUUCCUUUAGCAUGGAACAUCCAAUGUGGCCAAGAUGGUUUUCUAGCACGUUCUGGAAUACGCACUACUACUCAUACCAUGGUUGUCCUCUAAGAAUAGUGCGUGACAGCAUUUCUCUAAGGGGAAAUCUUUUAUUAGCAUAGUUCUUAGAAAGAUGCAUGUAUAAUUACAGAAUCAACCUUAGUUGAUUCAACCUUCUAUACAUUGCACUCUUUCUAUCUGGUCUUUAAGAUAGACUCUUCAGAAUACUUAGGUAAGAAGAGAAAAGAGUUUUUAGGGAAGACUUUUGAAAAUCCUUUUGAAGAUGUCUCAUAAUAUCUGCAAAGAAGGGCUACGCUCCGAUACCAGCUGUGACGGAACCUCCCAAGUAAUUAGGCCCACCUAUAGUUGUCCUUGUCUAACAGACAUCAGACACCCUGUAGAUGUUCCUAAGUCACUUGACAAGCUCGGUAUCUUUCCUUACCUUACCAGGAACGUUUCACCCGUCUUGCAGACAUUACAGAACAUCGGAGAUAUAGAAAUGCGGAAGCAAUUAUAUAAACUUACAUUUAUUUAGAAAGUAAGAUCAAGUUAUUUAUUACAGACCAGAGUUAUAAAACGAGUGCAGGGUAGUAUUAUUACACAUACCAGGGGAGGCAAAAACUCCUCCCGAUAACUAUCAAACAAAGGUUCUUAUGGAGGACCACGUCCUCCCGCAUCUUCACUCUUGUUUUUCUUCAUUUGGUACCACCUUGGAGCAAAAGCAACAAAAAUUUGUCGCUUCCUCACCUAAAAACAACAAAGGGAUAAACCCUGAGUAUGGAAUUACUCAGCAAGUCUUACCCGACUAAGGAAAACACUCUCAAGGGUAUGCUGGGUAAAUAGGAGUCAAGGAGAGGCUUUAGCAAAAAUCAACUUAUACUUUUGCAGAAGUAGCUUACUAAAGUGAGUCCUUACUUUCAAUCUUUUAACGCCAUAUUAAGUAUUAAUAGACUCUAUUUGCAUCUAGUCUAAUUUCAACAUCUCAUCAAUACAACAUUAUUUUUAUCCAUAGUGUUCACAUCCUGACUUUAGGUUGCAGGGAAGUGACCAAGUCUUCAUAACCGCGAAGGUACGGCGAUCCGAAUCGAUUAUACUCAGCUGAGGAUCUCCAAUCACACGACAUAUGUAGCACUUAACCCUUGCAUAUGUCAACCCGCCACCGGGGUUCUUAAGACCAGAUCAGGUUCACGCAAACCGAGAGCACAGAUACACCACCGUCCAGCCUCUUGCCACGGAGGGUACACGCUACUCUCGCCACCGCUCCACGCCCAUUUCGUGUUAUCUUAUUCUGGCCUUAGUCUGCCCGAGGCAAGGCUUACCCAUGACGAGGCAUGUGACCAGUUAAAGGGUCCUCGGUCAGCACGCCUACAUACGCAUUAAUCCUUAACCAACCUGGGUAGAACAUCACCUGUUCCUAACCCAAGUCUCAAUUUAAGUAUUUCCAUCCUUAGGAUUGUGUCUGUUCCUUAGGAUGAAAGAGCAUCACAGGGAACUUUGCAGUAAGAUCCCACUAUUGCUCCAAAUGAAAAUAUUCUUGCAGGUAGAAGCCAUCCUCUCCCGGGUUAGACUGAGGACAACCUCUAUCCACAAGGUCUAAGCAAGGCUAAGCAUUUUUGUAAAUCAUAUUUUGAUACUUCACAGAAGUAUCUAUAAAGGUAUGGAUAUCAAGGAAAUCAAUGCAUUAAAGGGUUCCAAGCAACUCCUAUGAACCUAAUGCACAUUUCACUAGACUUAAAGUGUGCGAAAAGUAUUUAAAACACAAGGAAAGGGGUUGCAUGCACCGGGGCUUGCCUUCGUUCACAGGUGAGUCAGGCUCGGAUCCGCAGAUGUCGAAGUAGAGCCAAGUCCCUGCCUGAGAAUCCAAAGGUGGUGGUGUCUUCUCUUCAGUCACUUCACUCUCUUCUUCGUUUUCUAAAUAUAACCAUAUAGGUAUAUAAAUAAGAAUGAAUGCCAUGUAAUGCUUAUGAGAGUGCAUAGAUAAUAAAGGUUUAUUAACUAAGUUUUGAAUACAACAUUCCUUCACGGAACUCCGAGAACUUAGGGUUUCCGGAGUUAGUAAAGGAGUUCAAAGGGUAGGGGGUAGGGUUUUGGGUUCUAGUUAUCAAACAAGGUCCAAAUCAAACCAAAUCCUACCCAAGGCUUCUAAAUAUUAUUUUAAGCUCAUAUAAAAAGUUUGGGCAUUUUUGGAAUUAUUAUUGAUUUUCUAAAAAUCCAGACACAAGGUUUUAUGCUAUUUUAAAUACUCCAAAAUUCCCUAUUUGAUCUAAAAAUCAUAAAACUAUUUUUAUUAAAUUCUAUGGAAAAUUAGGAAUCUGACAAAAUUGGUUUGACAUUUUUACCAUUUUUCAGAAAUUUUCUAUGGAUUUCUAAAGCUGAUUGGAAAAAGAAAAGGAAAAACUACUAACAGUGUUGGGCCCAAACCGCUGGCGUGGUCCAACAACCAGGCAAAGCUGGCGCAAACCCGGGAGCCCGCGCCCGCUUUGGCCAGCUUGCACAAAGGACCUUGCGCUCUGGUUAAAACAAUCAGAGCUCCCAACCACUGUUGCUUGUGUCUCUGACAUCCUCGCUAAAACCCCUUGGCUUCCACUUAUUUACAAGCACUCGGCCCCGACAUCGCCCGUACGAACUCCGGCGACCCAGCGCCAGCUCGGCCAUGGUGGCGCAACACCGGCGACGGCGAUGGUACCCACGCGAACCCCGAAUCGCAGUGAACUCGGGUAUGGGCUCAAUCGAUCCAUGAGAACUCCACAACCCAUUUAUCGGCAGCGACGGCGGAGCACUGGAUCCGACGAACUCUAUUCCCCGAUCACCGCACGGUAGUGUUCAAACAAACGGGCCAGGGAGCUUUAGAGACCACUUAAGUCUACGGUGCGCGCGCGCAAUCGCUCGGGAAUGGCGCGGUUAAUACGGUCCACACCGAGGCUGUCCUCGGUGCCCGACCGCGACGGCGCGACCGUGUUCUACUCAACGUAUGGCGGUAGAGCUUGAACAAACCACUUGAUCAGCUUCACUGACCAAUACAGAUCAUGGAACACAAGCCACACGGGUGAGAAACUUUCUGAGCAUACCUGGCCACGGUAAAGUGGAAGAUCUGCAGGUGUGGUCACCAGACACAUUCAGUGCCUUGAUCGAUGGAAUUGGGCGCGUCCAGGGUAUGAUUUGGGGAAGGAAGAGCAAUACUGCUGACUGAAGCUACUCACUACGGUUGAUGAUCGAGGCACGGAUCACUGCACUGGCUUCUGCUUUCUUUCCCUCACCCUGUUGCUCUUUAUAUAGGCAGGGAAAAUAUCAAGGGACUGGAUUCUUGAGUUUACAGGGGGGAUAACUAUGUGCAUGGGGUGCAGUCGUGGCUUACUCAAGGAAGCCCACGCCGGUGCUGCAGGGUGAAGAUUAUCCAGGGCAAGGGAGGGAGGUGAAGAUAGGAUGGCACUGUUCUGGAUAUUUGCACAGGUGAUAUUUCAGUGAUGAACAAAUCUGAAUACCCCUGCCAGCACUCCAUCCCAAUCUUCAUCCUAUUCCAAAGUUGGUCACGGCAAGAAAAACUGAACUUGGUCACUUCUAGCAGCCAAAUAUCUGAUUUGUCCCUUUCUGUAGACAGUAAACCAACAGAUAAGAAUUCUAGUGUGUGCAGACUUAAAUGGAUCCAAACUGAUAUUUCUAAAGGGAUGAAGCCACUAGAACUGCUGCUGUCCAGCAUACCCCAUUAAAGAUUCAUUAGAUGAGGACCCCCUCUCAUUCACUGCUCACAAAAUAGGUCAAAAUUUGGAUAUUUUUUUA